UACGUAGGGUGCGAGCGUUGUCCGGAAUUAUUGGGCGUAAAGGGCUCGUAGGCGGUUUGUCGCGUCGGGAGUGAAAACUCAGGGCUUAACCCUGAGCCUGCUUCCGAUACGGGCAGACUAGAGGUAUGCAGGGGAGAAUGGAAUUCCUGGUGUAGCGGUGAAAUGCGCAGAUAUCAGGAGGAACACCGGUGGCGAAGGCGGUUCUCUGGGCAUUACCUGACGCUGAGGAGCGAAAGUGUGGGGAGCAAACAGG
rnacentral:rRNA from 1 species